UGCGGGGUGGAGCAGCGGUAGCUCGUUGGGCUCAUAACCCAAAGGCCCCAGGUUCGAAUCCUGGCCCCGCAA
rnacentral:tRNA from 1 species